rnacentral:rRNA from 1 species
UACGUAGGUGACCAGCGUUGUCCGGAUUUACUGGGCGUAAAGAGCGCGCAGGCGGUCGUUCAAGUCGAGUGUGAAAGCCCCCGGCUCAACUGGGGAGGGUCACUCGAUACUGAUCGACUUGAAGGCAGGAGAGGGAAGCGGAAUUCCCGGUGUAGUGGUGAAAUGCGUAGAUAUCUGAAGGAACACCAGUGGCGAAGGCGGCUUUCUGGCCUAUUCUUGACGCUGAGGCGCGAAAGCUAGGGGAGCGAACGGG